rnacentral:sRNA from 1 species
GGGGGUGUACCGGUUUUCGACGGGGGAUGGGAGGCAUUGGUCAGCAUGCCGAGGACGUCGGUUGGCCUCGUUAAUAAUCCGACAAAAACACAAUUGCCGAAGAUUACUCUUACGCAAUGGCUGCCUAACUAAAGGCGGCAACCCGACGGCGGAGCGCGCCUGUACGUCGUUGGGCUGACAGGGCGCUGGCUCGCGGGAAGAACCGGUCCGCGGGCGAGAUUUAGGUUCUGGCGACCCCUGCAGCCCGCCGACCGGCGGCAGGGGGGGCGAGACUAAAAGGACGGCUAAGCAUGUAGCGGGCCGUGUUAAUCGUCUUUCGGACAGGGGUUCGACUCCCCUCACCUCCAUUU